rnacentral:rRNA from 1 species
GACGAACGCGGCGGCGUGCCUAAUACAUGCAAGUCGAACGAACCGCGACUAAGUGCUUGCACUAAGUCAAGGUGAGUGGCGAACGGGUGAGUAACACGUGGGUAACCUACCUCAUAGUGGGGGAUAACAGUCGGAAACGACUGCUAAUACCGCAUAGGACAUAGGAUCACAUGAUCCAGUGAGGAAAGGUGGCGCAAGCUAUCGCUAAGAGAUGGACCCGCGGUGCAUUAGCUAGUUGGUAGGGUAAAGGCCUACCAAGGCGAUGAUGCAUAGCCGACCUGAGAGGGUGAUCGGCCACAUUGGGACUGAGACACGGCCCAAACUCCUACGGGAGGCAGCAGUAGGGAAUCUUCCGCAAUGGACGCAAGUCUGACGGAGCAACGCCGCGUGAGUGAAGAAGGUCUUCGGAUCGUAAAGCUCUGUUGUUAGAGAAGAACAGCGC